rnacentral:rRNA from 1 species
CGGAUUGUAGGCUGAAACUCGCCUACAUGAAGCUGGAGUUACUAGUAAUCGCAGAUCAGAAUGCUGCGGUGAAUGCGUUCCCGGGUCUUGUACACACCGCCCGUCACACCACGGAAGUUGGGGGCGCCCGAAGCCACUUAGCUAACCCUUUGGGAAGCGAGUGUCGAAGGUGAAAUCAAUAACUGGGGUGAAGUCGUAACAAGGUACC